rnacentral:tRNA from 1 species
GCUCUCGUAGUGUAGCCCGGACAAUACUGUCCUGGAACAGGAUUGGGGUAACCAAUCAUGAAGCCCUCUCGAGGCUUCGACUCGGGUUCGAAUCCCGACGGGAGCACCA